AGAGUUUGAUCUGGCUCAGAUUGAACGCUGGCGGCAUGCUUUACACAUGCAAGUCGAACGGCAGCGCGGGGCAACCUGGCGGCGAGUGGCGAACGGGUGAGUAAUAUAUCGGAACGUACCCAAGAGUGGGGGAUAACGUAGCGAAAGUUACGCUAAUACCGCAUACGAUCCAAGGAUGAAAGCAGGGGACCGCAAGGCCUUGUGCUCCUGGAGCGGCCGAUAUCUGAUUAGCUAGUUGGUAGGGUAAAGGCCUACCAAGGCAUCGAUCAGUAGCUGGUCUGAGAGGACGACCAGCCACACUGGAACUGAGACACGGUCCAGACUCCUACGGGAGGCAGCAGUGGGGAAUUUUGGACAAUGGGGGCAACCCUGAUCCAGCAAUGCCGCGUGAGUGAAGAAGGCCUUCGGGUUGUAAAGCUCUUUUGUCAGGGAAGAAACGGGUGCGGCUAAUAUCUGCAUCUAAUGACGGUACCUGAAGAAUAUGCACCGGCUAACUACGUGCCAGCAGCCGCGGUAAUACGUAGGGUGCAAGCGUUAAUCGGAAUUACUGGGCGUAAAGCGUGCGCAGGCGGUUUUGUAAGUCUGUCGUGAAAUCCCCGGGCUUAACCUGGGAAUGGCGAUGGAGACUGCAAGGCUAGAGUUUGGCAGAGGGGGGUAGAAUUCCACGUGUAGCAGUGAAAUGCGUAGAGAUGUGGAGGAACACCGAUGGCGAAGGCAGCCCCCUGGGUCAAAACUGACGCUCAUGCACGGAAGCGUGGGGAGCAAACAGGAUUAGAUACCCUGGUAGUCCACGCCCUAAACGAUGUCUACUAGUUGUCGGGUCUUAAUUGACUUGGUAACGCAGCUAACGCGUGAAGUAGACCGCCUGGGGAGUACGGUCGCAAGAUUAAAACUCAAAGGAAUUGACGGGACCCGCACAGCGGUGGAUGAUGUGGAUUAAUUCGAUGCAACGCGAAAACUUACCUACCCUUGACAUGGAUGGAAUCCGGAAAGAUCUGGGAGUGCUCGAAAGAGAACCAUACACACAGGUGCUGCAUGGCUGUUCGUCAGCCUUCUUGUGCGUGGAGAUGGUUGGGGUUUAUGUCGGACG
rnacentral:rRNA from 1 species